CACUAUUUUCUGACUGAAAGCAGUGAAGGUCCAGCUGCAGCAUCAUCCACCACAGGCAGGCCUUACAAUCCUCAAACUCGAUGAUAAAGCUGGUGGUGGCAAUAUUAGUGGCCUCCCUCUCAAACAUCAUGGAGGUCCCAAAAUCCUAGAUGCAAUGCUCCCGGAGCGCAAGGGGGAUUCACUCGAACUAGGGGGCACCCUCACCCCCAGAAGAUGGCGAAGACUGCAAGGCGGAUGGUGCCCUACGGG
rnacentral:lncRNA from 1 species